GAUAAACGCUGGCGGCGUGCUUUAUGCAUGCAAGUCGAACGGUCUUGAUAUGCCAGGCUUGCCUGAUGUAUCAAGAUAGUGGCAAACGGGUGAGUAACGCGUAAGUAACCUGUCCUCAAGUAGGGAAUAACUCUGAGAAAUUGGAGCUAAUACCGUAUGUGGUGGUGGGGGUAAUGCUCUAUCACUAAAGCCUUAGGGUGCUUGGGGAGGGGCUUGCGUCCGAUUAGCUAGUUGGUAGGGUAACGGUUUACCAAGGCGAUGAUCGGUAGCUGGUUUGAGAGGACGGUCAGCCACACUGGGACUGAGACACGGCCCAGACUCCUACGGGAGGCAGCAGCAAGGAAUAUUGUGCAAUGGGCGAAAGCCUGACACAGCGACACCGCGUGGGGGAUGAAGGCCUUCGGGUCGUAAACCCCUUUUCUCAGGGAAGAAAAAUGACGGUACCUGGGGAAUAAGUCUCGGCUAACUACGUGCCAGCAGCCGCGGUAAUACGUAGGUGGCGAGCGUUAUCCGGAUUUACUGGGCGUAAAGUGGGUGUAGACGGUUUUAUAAGUUGGAUGUAAAAUCUCUCAGCUUAACUGAGAGCGAUCAUUUGAUACUGUUAAACUAGAGGACAACAGGGGGAGGUAGAAUUCCCGGUGUAGUGGUGGAAUGCGUAGAUAUCGGGAGGAAUACCAGUGGCGAAGGCGGCCUCCUGGGUUGUUUCUGACGUUCAUGCCCGAAGGUGUGGGGAGCAAACAGGAUUAGAUACCCUGGUAGUCCACACUGUAAACGAUGGACACUAGGUAUAGGGAGUAUCGACCCUCUCUGUGUCGAAGCUAACGCUUUAAGUGUCCCGCCUGGGGACUACGGCCGCAAGGCUA
rnacentral:rRNA from 1 species